rnacentral:rRNA from 1 species
UCCCCGAGCGUUGUCCGGGAUUUAUUGGGCGUAAAGCGAGCGCAGGCGGUUUGAUAAGUCUGAAGUUAAAGGCUGUGGCUCAACCAUAGUUCGCUUUGGAAACUGUCAAACUUGAGUGCAGAAGGGGAGAGUGGAAUUCCAUGUGUAGCGGUGAAAUGCGUAGAUAUAUGGAGGAACACCGGUGGCGAAAGCGGCUCUCUGGUCUGUAACUGACGCUGAGGCUCGAAAGCGUGGGGAGCGAACAGGAUUAGAUACCCUGGUAGUCCACGCCGUAAACGAUGAGUGCUAGGUGUUGGAUCCUUUCCGGGAUUCAGUGCCGCAGCUAACGCAUUAAGCACUCCGCCUGGGGAGUACGACCGCAAGGUUGAAACUCAAAGGAAUUGACGGGGGCCCGCACAAGCGGUGGAGCAUGUGGUUUAAUUCGAAGCAACGCGAAGAACCUUACCAGGUCUUGACAUCCCGAUGCUAUUUCUAGAGAUAGAAAGUUACUUCGGUACAUCGGUGACAGGUGGUGCAUGGUUGUCGUCAGCUCGUGUCGUGAGAUGUUGGGUUAAGUCCCGCAACGAGCGCAACCCCUAUUGUUAGUUGCCAUCAUUCAGUUGGGCACUCUAGCGAGACUGCCGGUAAUAAACCGGAGGAAGGUGGGGAUGACGUCAAAUCAUCAUGCCCCUUAUGACCUGGGCUACACACGUGCUACAAUGGUUGGUACAACGAGUUGCGAGUCGGUGACGGCGAGCUAAUCUCUUAAAGCCAAUCUCAGUUCGGAUUGUAGGCUGCAACUCGCCUACAUGAAGUCGGAAUCGCUAGUAAUCGCGGAUCAGCACGCCGCGGUGAAUACGUUCCCGGGCCUUGUACACGCCACCCGUCACACCACGAGAGUUUGUAACACCCGAAGUCGGUGAGGUACCUUUGGAGCCAGCCGCCUAAGUGAACAGU